rnacentral:rRNA from 1 species
AACGAACGCUGGCGGCAUGCCUAACACAUGCAAGUCGAACGAGAUCUUCGGGUCUAGUGGCGCACGGGUGCGUAACGCGUGGGAAUCUGCCCUUUGGUUCGGAAUAACAGUUGGAAACGACUGCUAAUACCGGAUGAUGACGAAAGUCCAAAGAUUUAUCGCCAGAGGAUGAGCCCGGGUAGGAUUAGGUAGUUGGUGUGGUAAAGGCGCACCAAGGCGACGAUCCUUAGCUGGUGUGAGAGGAUGAUCAGCCAAACUGGGACUGAGACACGGCCCAGACUACUACGGGAGGCAGCAGUGGGGAAUAUUGGACAAUGGGCGAAGGCCUGAUCCAGCAAUGCCGCGUGAGUGAUGAAGGCCUUAGGGUUGUAAAGCUCUUUUACCCGGGAUGAUAAUGACAGUACCGGGAGAAUAAGCUCCGGCUAACUCCGUGCCAGCAGCCGCCGUAA